UACGGGGGGGGCUAGCGUUGCUCGGAAUUACUGGGCGUAAAGCGUGCGCAGGCGGUUAUGUAAGACAGAUGUGAAAUGCCCGGGCUCAACCUGGGAGCUGCAUUUGUGACUGCAUGGCUAGAGUUUGGCAGAGGGGAGUAGAAUUCCACGUGUAGCAGUGAAAUGCGUAGAUAUGUGGAGGAAUACCGAUGGCGAAGGCAGCCCCCUGGGUCAAGACUGACGCUCAUGCACGAAAGCGUGGGGAGCAUACAGG
rnacentral:rRNA from 1 species